rnacentral:rRNA from 1 species
AUUGAACGCUGGCGGCAGGCCUAACACAUGCAAGUCGAACGAGUGGCGGACGGGUGAGUAAUGUCUGGGAAACCGCCCGAUGGAGGGGGAUCACUACUGGAAACGGUAGCUAAACCCGCAUACCAUCGGAUUUGCCCAGAUGGUAUUAGCUAGUAGGUGGGGUAACGGCUCACCUAGGCGACGAUCCCUAGCUGGUCUGAGAGGAUGACCAGCAACACGGGAACUGAGACACGGUCCAGACUCCUACGGGAGGCAGCAGUGGGGAAUAUGGCAAAAUGGGCGAAAGCCUGAUGCAGACAUGCCGCGUGUGUGAAGAAGGCCUUCGGGUUGUAAAGUACUUUCAGCGAGGAGGCGUUACUCGCAGAAGAAGCACCGGCUAACUCCGUGCCAGCAGCCGCGGUAAUUC